AGAUUGAACGCUGGCGGAAUGCUUUACACAUGCAAGUCGAACGGCAGCACGGGGGCAACCCUGGUGGCGAGUGGCGAACGGGUGAGUAAUACAUCGGAACGUGCCCAUGUCGUGGGGGAUAACGUAGCGAAGCUACGCUAAUACCGCAUACGAUCUACGGAUGAAAGCGGGGGAUCGCAAGACCUCGCGCGAUUGGAGCGGCCGAUGGCAGAUUAGGUAGUUGGUCGGGGUAAAGGCGUC
rnacentral:rRNA from 1 species